CUGUGUUUGUCCAGGAACCUCCGCAGGUCACCGACUGUUUCCGACGGGGACAUUUUCACUAUGUUGUCCUUCAGUGAAGUUUGGCAUGAAGUUAUCUGUUCUGCAGAAGUGGAGUUUUUCUUGUUCUGCAGCUUUGCAGUCCAUUCCUGUGCUGGAUUCUAGUGAUUAUCUUCUUUGAGACUAUAAUUCACGACUCGAAUAAUUGCUGCUUCUCUACGACUCACCUGCAGCUUUGCCCUCAGCGAGUUCCUGAUAUCAAUC